rnacentral:tRNA from 1 species
UGGGUUGAAGCUUAAUAUUUGAGCAGUUGGCCGUUAACCAGAAGGAUGUGAGAUAAAAACUCACCAGCCCAU